GACGAACGCUGGCGGCGUGCCUAAUACAUGCAAGUAGAACGCUGAAGGAGGAGCUUGCUUCUCUGGAUGAGUUGCGGACGGGUGAGUAACGCGUAGGUAACCUGCCUGGUAGUGGGGGAUAACUAUUGGAAACGAUAGCUAAUACCGCAUAAUAGCAGUUGUUGCAUGAUAACUGUUUGAAAGGUGCAAUUGCACCGCUACCAGAUGGACCUGCGUUGUAUUAGCUAGUUGGUGGGGUAACGGCUCACCAAGGCGACGAUACAUAGCCGACCUGAGAGGGUGAUCGGCCACACUGGGACGGAGACACGGCCCAGACUCCUACGGGAGGCAGCAGUAGGGAAUCUUCGGCAAUGGACGGAAGUCUGACCGAGCAACGCCGCGUGAGUGAAGAAGGGUGUCGGAUCGUAAAGCUCUGUUGUAAGAGAAGAACGAGUGUGAGAGUGGAAAGUUCACACUGUGACGGUAUCUUACCAGAAAGGGACGGCUAACUACGUG
rnacentral:rRNA from 1 species